CCCUGGUUAGCUCAGUUGGUAGAGGCUCCACUUGUAAUGGAGAGGUCCCGGGUUCGAUACCCGGACCAGGCG
rnacentral:tRNA from 1 species